GAUGAAGAACGCAGCGAAAUGCGAUACGUAAUGUGAAUUGCAGAAUUCAGUGAAUCAUCGAGUCUUUGAACGCACAUUGCGCCCCCUGGUAUUCCGGGGGGCAUGCCUGUCCGAGCGUCAUUGCUGCCCUCAAGCACGGCUUGUGUGUUGGGCCUCCGUCCUCCUCCCGGGGGACGGGCCCGAAAGGCAGCGGCGGCACCGCGUCCGGUCCUCGAGCGUAUGGGGCUUCGUCACCCGCUCUUGUAGGCCCGGCCGGCGCUUGCCGACACACCAAUCUUUUUUCCAGGUUGACCUCGGAUCAGGUAGGGAUACCCGCUGAACUUAAGCAUAUCAAUAAGCGGAGGA
rnacentral:misc_RNA from 1 species